rnacentral:snoRNA from 1 species
AUGUACUGUUCAUAACCUGUUAUCAGAGUUACUGCUGACGGGUUCCAAUCCAGUGCUACAGAAAUUCCCAGAAUAAUAUAAGACUGACCAAACUUGUCUGUCUGAUUUUAUAUUUGGGAGACAAGG